CAUGCAGUCGAACGGCAGCACGGGUGCUUGCACCUGGUGGCGAGUGGCGAACGGGUGAGUAAUGUAUCGGAACGUAUCCAAUAAUGGGGGAUAACUAAUCGAAAGGUUGGCUAAUACCGCAUACGCCCUACGGGGGAAAGCAGGGGAUCUUCGGACCUUGCGUUAAUGGAGCGGCCGAUAUCUGAUUAGCUAGUUGAUGAGGUAAAGGCUCACCAAGGCGACGAUCAGUAGCUGGUCUGAGAGGACGACCAGCCACACUGGAACUGAGACACGGUCCAGACUCCUACGGGAGGCAGCAGUGGGGAAUUUUGGACAAUGGGGGCAACCCUGAUCCAGCCAUUCCGCGUGAGUGAAGAAGGCCUUCGGGUUGUAAAGCUCUUUCGCAAGGGAAGAAACGAUACAGUCUAAUAAACUGCGUUAAUGACGGUACCUUGAUAAGAAGCACCGGCUAACUACGUGCCAGCAGCCGCGGUAAUACGUAGGGUGCGAGCGUUAAUCGGAAUUACUGGGCGUAAAGCGUGCGCAGGCGGUUUUGAAAGUCAGAUGUGAAAUCCCCGGGCUCAACCUGGGAACUGCGUUUGAAACUCCAAAGCUAGAGUAUGGGAGAGGGGGGUAGAAUUCCACGUGUAGCAGUGAAAUGCGUAGAGAUGUGGAGGAAUACCAAUGGCGAAGGCAGCCCCCUGGCUUAAUACUGACGCUCAUGCACGAAAGCGUGGGGAGCAAACAGGAUUAGAUACCCUGGUAGUCCACGCCCUAAACGAUGUCUACUAGUUGUUGGGAGAGUAAAAUCUCUUAGUAACGCAGCUAACGCGUGAAGUAGACCGCCUGGGGAGUACGGUCGCAAGAUUAA
rnacentral:rRNA from 1 species